UCCGUUUCGUCUCCUCCUCCUGUAUCUUCUCUGUAGUCUCUCUCUCUCGUCUCUCUGCCACUGAACUGAACCAAACUCCCCUUCACUAUCCCCAGAGGCCAUGAAAAUUAUAUCCUAAAAGACGCACAGAAACCCUAGCAAUGGCAGCUUCUGUUGCUGCUGCCGCCUCUAUUUUUCCACUACCGAAGUUCACGUUUCUCCGUCCGGAAACCAGUCUUAAGAUUAGAAUUCCGCUGUCCAGACUUCAGUUUCGGAACUCUAGGUAUAAUCUAGUUCUUCGGACUCGAGUCAGAGGAGUUCAGGAAGAACGGAUUGCGGUUUUCAAGGAACAAGAGAGAGAGGAUUCGUUGGGAGAUGAAGUGAAUGGCUUCAAAUUGAACGGUAAGGGAGGCAGCUUCGGUUAUAAUGGAUCGGUUCCUAGCUCUAAUGGCAGCGCCGGGGUGGUUUUGGAUGGAAAUGGAGCAAGUAAUGGGAGUUUGGCGAAAUAUACUGAUGGGAACGGCGCUGCAACAAAAACGGUGGAAGGAGAAGUUUCCAGUUUGAAGUCGGAGGAGAGGAGGAAAAAGAGGUUGGAAGAGAUAGGGCAGGAAGAUGCCUGGUUCAAGAAAUCUGUACAAGAUAAUAUACAGGUCUCUGUUGCACCAGGUGGCCGUUGGAAUAGAUUCAAGACCUAUUCAACCAUACAGAGGACCUUGGAAAUAUGGAGUUUUGUUAUAACAUUUCUCUUUAAGGCAUGGCUAAAUAAUCAGAAGUUCAUGUAUCGAGGAGGAAUGACCGAGCAGAAAAAAAUUCUAAAGCGGAAAGCCCUUGCCAAGUGGUUAAAGGAAAAUAUUUUGAGAUUGGGCCCCACAUUCAUCAAAAUUGGCCAGCAGUUCUCCACAAGGGUGGACAUUCUUUCCCAGGAAUACGUUGAUCAGUUGUCUGAACUUCAGGAUCAAGUUCCUCCUUUCCCAUCAGAAACAGCCGUUUCUAUAAUUGAAGAAGAGCUUGGAGCCCCUGUUAAUGAUAUUUUUGAUCGGUUUGAUUAUGAGCCCAUAGCUGCUGCUAGUCUUGGCCAGGUUCACCGUGCAAGACUGAAGGGGCAGGAAGUCGUUGUUAAAGUGCAAAGGCCUGGUCUGAAGGAUCUUUUUGAUAUUGAUUUGAAAAACCUGAGGGUAAUAGCAGAAUAUCUUCAAAAGCUGGACCCCAAAUCAGAUGGCGCAAAGAGAGACUGGGUUGCUAUCUAUGAUGAAUGUGCAAGUGUCCUGUAUCAGGAGAUUGAUUAUAUCAAGGAAGCGGAAAAUGCAGAAUUAUUUGCAAAUAACUUUAAAGGCAUGGCAUAUGUAAAAGUCCCAACAAUAUACUGGGAGUACACUACACCACAGGUUCUGACAAUGGAGUAUGUCCCUGGUAUAAAAAUAAACAGGAUAAAAGCGUUAGAUCAGUUGGGUGUUGACCGCCAAAGGUUAGGCCGCUAUGCUGUUGAGUCAUACUUGGAACAGAUUUUAUCUCAUGGUUUUUUCCAUGCUGACCCACAUCCUGGAAACAUUGCUGUGGAUGAUGUGAAUGGGGGACGGCUAAUAUUUUAUGAUUUUGGAAUGAUGGGAAGUAUCAGUCCAAAUAUCCGGGAGGGUUUACUAGAAACGUUCUAUGGAGUUUAUGAGAAGGAUCCAGAUAAGGUGCUUCAAGCCAUGAUUCAGAUGGGUGUUCUUGUACCUACUGGAGAUAUGACAGCUGUUAGAAGGACGGCGUUGUUCUUUCUCAAUAGCUUUGAGGAACGACUUGCAGCACAAAGGAGGGAGAGAGAGAUGGCCACAACAGAGCUUGGGUUCAAAAAACCAUUGAACAAAGAGGAAAGAUUAGAGAAAAAGAAGCAGCGCCUGGCUGCAAUUGGAGAAGACCUACUUGCCAUUGCUGCAGACCAACCUUUCCGUUUUCCUGCCACUUUUACAUUUGUUGUUAGAGCAUUUUCAGUGCUCGAUGGCAUUGGGAAGGGCCUUGAUCCUCGAUUUGAUAUUACAGAGAUUGCUAAACCCUAUGCGAUGGAAUUACUAAGGUUUCGUGAGGCAGGUGUCGAGGUCAUCAUAAAGGACUUUAAGAAGAGAUGGGACCGACAAUCCCGUGCAUUCUACAACAUAUUUAGACAGGCAGAUAGAGUUGAAAAGCUUGCUGAAGUCAUCCAACGACUGGAGCAAGGUGAUCUGAAACUUCGAGUUAGAACUUUAGAAUCUGAGAGGGCUUUCCAGCGUGUUGCAGCUGUUCAAACAACGGUCGGAAGUGCAGUAGCUGCUGGCAGCUUCAUAAACCUUGCUACAAUCUUGUAUCUCAAUUCAAUUCGAGUGCCUGCAAUCACAGCAUAUCUACUGUGUGCGUUUUUUACCAUUCAAGUCCUGUUUGGUAUUCUCAAGGUAAAAAACUUAGACCAACAGGAGAGGUUGAUAACAGGCACUGCUUGAACCACUGGUAGAUAUGCAAUUUCAUCACUGCAAUCAUGGUUUUAGUUAUUAGUAUCGUAUUGGCCAAUGGCUGAUGCAUAUUGGUAUUGGUCGUGGGCUCCUGGCCGAUAGGGUAUUGGUGGUGACUGAUACAGGUGGCGAUACUGUAUACUGAAACUGUGGCUGCAUUGCACAAUUAUUUGUACUAUAUACUUCGGGCCAAAAGAAAAUCAGAGUAAAGUAAAAAAGACUGCUCGGUUGUAUGCGCAACAUUUCCUUGGAUAGACUGAAUCUGAGAUCAGAUGUAUUAUCUAUUUUGCCUGCAGAAAUCAUGGGGAUGUAGGAAGCAGUUACUGCCAAUGACUGGUUACGAAUCACGAUGCAAGAGGACAAGUCCACCAGGCCCAACUAAGACCAGACCAGCCAGACGGAUUGACACGCCGCUUAAUCCCUUAAAUUAACCAUUUUACCAUUGGCGGGGUUGACAAACAAGGUCGUGGGCUUUUACGAAGGACAUUGAGAGCCGAAUCUAAUAAUGACGUCAUUGGAGAACGUGGUGCGCAGAGUCUUAGACAAGAUCCUCAGAAUUCUACGUCUCCGCAGUCAAACUUCUUUGGGCUCGUAAAAUUUUGUCUGUUUGUUACAAAUUUUUUUAUCAAAUUGGGCUGUGCAGCCCAUAAACAGUGAAAAAAGCCUAUCAAACUUAGAAGACGAAGAAGCUGUGGAAACUCUUAUAAAAGCCCAUUUAUUAUAAGAUAAGAUUGGUACUUCCCUUCCUCCUCUUAA